CCUACGGGUGGCAGCAGUGAGGAAUAUUGGUCAAUGGACGAGAGCCUGAACCAGCCAAGUAGCGUGAAGGAUGACUGCCCUAUGGGUUGUAAACUUCUUUUAUAUGGGAGUAAAAUGUUCCACGUGUGGGAUUUUGUAGGUCCCAUAUAAAUAAGGAUCGGCUACAUCCGUGCCAGCAGCCUCGGUAAUACGGAGGAUCCGAGCAUUAACCGGUUUUAUUGGGGUUAAAGGGAGCGGAGUUGGGUUGUUAAGUCAGGUGGGAAAGUUUGGGGGCCAACCGUAAUAUAGCAGUUGAAACUGGCAGUCUUGAGUACGGUAGAGGUAGGCGGAAUGCGUGGUGUAGCGGUGAAAUGCUUAGAUAUCACGAAGAACCCCGAUUGCGAAGGCAGCUCACUGG
rnacentral:rRNA from 1 species